AAUUACUGCUUAUUUUUCUGUCGACCUUUAGAACGUACUACUUCUUUUAUUGUAGCUGCCGAAAGCCCGUUGGCGGAGUAUUGUGAAUUUUCAUAGAAAUACUGAAGCGACCAUAGGGGAAAGUAUUCGCGAAAAUGCGGUCCCCCAAUGACAGCGUCGCUUACGAAAGCGACAGCGACGUUUCUGAGAUGGACCCCGAAUCAGAUGUUCUAGCACCAGUGCAGCGCCGUAUCGAGGAGCAGCUGCGUAAACACUUGCAGGAGCUAUCGCAACAGAUCCAUGAGACGAACAAUGAGCUAUCAGGUGUAGAAAAAGAGCGCGAAAGCUGCGGUGUGGAUCUCUACAAUGCCCAGCAGCAUCUGGCAACGCUGCAAAAAACCCUGGAAGGGUACCACGAAAAACAUGCCGCGAUUCAACAGCAACAUGAAGACAAGCUGCGUGCGCGCGAGGAGCUGUCUUCUGCAGCAGAGAGCGCACAAAAGAAAGUUGAUGAUAUGCAGAAACAGUACACCCGCUAUCACAACGAGCUGGCUAAGCUGACGGAGACGCUGAUGAAGGUGGAGCGGUUCAAUCAGGAGUUGAAGGAUGAGGUGGAGCUCGAGCGUCGCGCCGCCCACAAGACUGAGGAUGAUAUCACUAACUUGGAAAAGGCAAAGCUGCGACAGGACUCACUCAUUCUCUCCAUGCAGAAGCGCAUCGAGACACUAGAGAACGAGAGCGCGAUGCUAGAUGAGCAGAUAGGCAGCCAGCGUGAGGAAACCAAGCGCGCGCGCGAGACAUUGGCCGAUGCCGCGUCGGAGAUGGAGGCCAUUGUUAUGGAGAAGAAGCAACUCGUUCAGCAGUGGCGAAGCUCUCUUAUUGGCAUGCAGCGACGGCAGGAUGCAGUGCGGAAGACAGAAGAGGCGCUGCAGCAGCAGAAGAAUGAACUGCUUGUGCUCGAGAACGAGAUUACUGGCUACCGUCACGACAUUCGCACGUCGCAGGCAGAGAACACCAAGCUCACUGCGUUCAUGUCUCGCAUUGACAACGAAAUUAUCAUCUUGGAAAGGCAGAUGGACGGACUUCUGCUGAAGAAGGAGGAGGCCACUAAAGCCUAUGCGCUUUUGGAGCAGAGCAUCGCCAGCUCAGUCGAAGAGCGCAAGGCCGUCGAACAGAAAAUGAAACUCAAGGCAGCUGAGCUAUCGGAGGUGGAAAAGCAGAUUGCGAAGCACGCCAAAGCCAUCGUUGAAAUGGAGAACGAAAUGCUGGUGCAUCUGAGCAGGGAAUCUACGUUGAAGCAGGAGAGCAAAGGCGCACUGCAGGAAAUCCGAAAGAUCAAGGAGUCGAUCCGCGCAAAGGAGCAAAAGGUGACUCAGAUGGAGAACGAGCUGGCACGAAUCCGUGUGGAUACACUGCAGUCGAAAGCCUACAACGAAACGCUCGCAACCACUCUGGCGGACCUCGAGAAGGAGCUGCAGUCACGUAGUGCGAUGAUAGAAAAGAUGCAGGCUGACAUCCGCCGUCGAAACAAUGAGAUCGAUCGCAAGCAAAAUCAGCUUGACCAGCUCAAUCACCAGUACGAGCAGAUUCUAGCAGCGCACAACGAUUUGCAGGGCGAUCAUGUCGGGCCCCUCGAGGCGACGAUCAACAGUCUUUCCAGGGCCAUUGCCACCAAGUCUAGCGAGAACGAAGCACUGCAGCAGGAGUGGAUCCGGUUGCAGACCGAGUUGGUUAACUACAAGAACAACAUGAACGACAUCAACGAAGCCAUCCUCGAUGCUCAGGCAAAGGCGACCAUCCUGAAACAGAAAAAGGAUCGCCUUCUCGCCAACAUCAGCGAAGGCAAGCAGCAGGUUACGAAUUUGCAGAACAAAUCGAACGCAAUGCAUCUAGAAAUGAAGCGGGUAAACACAUUGCUCAGCCAAAACAACGGUGCGCAGCAGAGUGCCUCUGACGACGUGUUCUUCCUUGAAAAAGACCUGGUGCGCCGACUCGAGGAGAGGAAGCGUGAAGCAAUUCAGCUUGAGAAGAAGGUGGAGGACAUGCGCCAGAGCAAGUCUGACAUCGUUGAGCAGAUCCUCUCGUGUGAGCGGGACAUCAUGUUCUGGGAGCGGAAGCUACAAGUUGCGCGGGAGACAGAGAUGGCGCUAGACCCUACAAUUGGGUGCGCCGAGAUGGAGAAGAUGAAGAAGGAGAUCACGUUCAUGGAGCAGCGCAUGUCGCAGCUGCAGCGCGAGCAGAAGUUUCUCAUCGAGGAGAUGCAGAAGAUGAUCGACCACCGCGAUAUCAUUCGGACCAAAGGCAAGGCAAUCCAGAUCGCGUCGCAGAAGAACAAGAACGGCGUGACUAGGCUCGCCGUGGAGAAGGAGAACAUGCGCCUCUUCAAGGAGCUGAAUGCAAAGCGGCAGGAGUCGCGCAGGAAGGAAAAGCUGGUCAAGGAGAGCAUGGCAGAGAUGGACCGCAUCGCAGCGGACGUGGACCGCACCCAGCACGAGAUACAGAACCUAGACGCCCAGAUCGAGGAUUUGCAGGGUCAAAUCGCCGAAGCUAAGAAAGAGCGCAAUCGCGCUGAGGACGAGAAGCGGCUGCGGCAGAACAACCUUCAACGGCUGCGAGACGCCGAAGUAGGCGCGUACCGGCUCAUGUGCUACCCGGAGGAGGCUGCGACAGAGGCGGCGCGGCUGGAUGAAGGCCGCCGGGCGGUUGUGAAUAUCAUGGAGGAACUAUCGGCGCAGUUCCCGGACCUUGCUCCGUCCUUGCAGGACCUCAUGACAAGCGUCUAACAGAGCCGUGCGUCGACGAGGAGAGCUCACACAAGAGGUGAGAUGCUGUGGCUGCCGAGGUGGCGGUCCAGCCACCACACCGAGGGUUUGCUGACCACAGUCAUUUGCGUUCUUCACGGGGCGAAGAGACCGACUCGUCGGUCGCAUGCCUCGCAAGACGCAUGCGAGUACAGCCACACAGGAUAUGCUGCUCGUCUAGCUGCUGCUCAUGCAGCCUUUAUUCCGCUGUUUUGUUUUUGUUCGUUUGGCGUUGCUGUUGCUUUAGAUGACCUCUGUCGUGCUCUUCACGACCUCCGCAGACCUUCGCACUUCGUGCUUUUUUACUGUGUUGUUUUGGUACACAUGUAUAGCAACGCCUCUACACUCCCCUUUACCCGGGGAGCCGAUGUUCAUAGGCAUUUUGUUUUCUGAAUGCAUGCUUUCAUCUAUCCUCUCUUCUCGUCUCCAUGCAGGGGUGGGGUAGGGAGGGGAGACAAACAGAAGCAAACGCAAAUUUGGGGCUUAUCAGGAGAUGAAGCA
rnacentral:misc_RNA from 1 species